UACAGAGGGGGCAAGCGUUGUUCGGAAUUACUGGGCGUAAAGGGCGCGUAGGCGGCCUGCUAAGUCGAACGUGAAAUCCCCGAGCUCAACUCGGGAACUGCGUCCGAUACUGGCAGGCUUGAAUCCGGGAGAGGGAUGCGGAAUUCCAGGUGUAGCGGUGAAAUGCGUAGAUAUCUGGAGGAACACCGGUGGCGAAGGCGGCAUCCUGGACCGGCAUUGACGCUGAGGCGCGAAAGCUAGGGUAGCAAACGGG
rnacentral:rRNA from 1 species